rnacentral:tRNA from 1 species
GCCCCAAUAGCAUAAGUAGGUCAAUGCGCUAGCAAAGAGAGAUUCCGGGUUCGAAUCCCGGUGGGGUUGCUA